AGCAGCCACGGUAAUUCCAGCUCCAAUAGCGUAUAUUAAAGUUGUUGCAGUUAAAAAAGCUCGUAGUUGAAUUUCGGGAUCAGUAGGUUGGUCGUGCCACUGGUAUGUACUGGCCUUACUGAUUCCUCCUUCUUGAAGAACCGUAAUGUCAUUAACUUGGUGUUGCGGGGAAACAGGACUGUUACCUUGAAAAAAUUAGAGUGUUUAAAGCAGGCCAGCGCCUGAAUACAUUAGCAUGGAAUAAUGAAAUAGGACGUUCGAUCCUAUUUUGUUGGUUUCUAGGAUUGACGUAAUGAUUAAUAGGGAUAGUUGGGGGCAUUAGUAUUCAAUUGUCAGAGGUGAAAUUCUUGGAUUUAUUGAAGACUAACUACUGCGAAAGCAUUUGCCAAGGAUGUUUUCAUUAAUCAAGAACGAAAGUUAGGGGAUCGAAGACGAUCAGAUACCGUCGUAGUCUUAACCAUAA
rnacentral:rRNA from 1 species